CACCACCAACCAAGCAGGAUAAAACAAUAAAGCUAACAAAAAGAUAAAAGUGAUACACAUAUCUACUCUCACCCCCUCCCCCAAACUUAUUACAGAACAUAAGUUCGAAAAUAAGUUUGGAGGGAUGAUGAUAUGUGUGUCACUACUCACAGAAAAACAUGCUCCAUGGUGGUGGUAUGAACAAAGCGCGAGUUCCCGCAUCUUCCAAGCUCAACACUGCACUAAAACCCCC
rnacentral:lncRNA from 1 species